rnacentral:tRNA from 1 species
GGCCAGUUAGCUCAGUCCGUUGAGCAUGGUGCUGAUAACACCAAGGUCGUGAGUUCGAUUCCCUUUUGGUCC